rnacentral:lncRNA from 1 species
GGGAAUGGUCCAACAAUGUCCAUUCUCCAUUAAGCGAAUGGCCAAGGAGAAACAAUGUUAUGUAGUUCGGAGGCUAGAGCAUGGAAAACAUUCCCAUGUUUUUGGCAUGCCAAACAUUUUUGGGAAAAGGCCAAGCAGUCCUUUUCUAACGUUGUCCAGAAAUAUCUCGCUCGGAGGAUCCUGGCCCUAAGUGCUCGUCCACCCGUAUGUCUACCAUAUAUACCCUCAUGUAACUCCUUCAUUACAUACUCAGCUUCCUCACCAUCUAGACAUUUUAACAACGGAGUGGUGUAACCCCGUCUGUAAAGAUCGUCACCUACCAAACAAUAUCUAGCCACUUUCUUCACGUCCUCAAGCCGAAGACUCCCUCCUUCGUCCUGCUCCUUAAUGAACUGGAUUAUCUCUUCUUUCC